rnacentral:lncRNA from 1 species
CUGAAAUCAUAUGUACCUGGGUAGAAUCUGGAUUGAAAAUAUUGUUCAACUUUUCCUUGCAGUUUGAGUAAGCAGCAAAAUAUAUCGCUCUGGAAGGAGCAACGCCUACCAAGUUAGGACCCAGCCCUCUAAACAGAGAACGAGGACCUUCCUUUUGCAAGAUCAUCUUCAAACAAUGGAGAGGUCCAGGAGAAACUCUAGUUACUCGAUUGACACUAGCACCAUUCACAGUGUUGAGAUGAACUUCAGAGAUGUACAGAGUCACAGAAGAGGACUGCAACCGUGUUUUCACAACUUCCAGUGGACAUGUCAGAAUUGCACCGACAGUACCUCCAC